rnacentral:tRNA from 3 species
GGGCCCUUAGCUCAGUUGGUAGAGCAACUGACUUUUAAUCAGUGGGUCACAGGUUCGAAUCCUGUAGGGCUCACCA